CCUCCAAAGAGGCCACCACUUCCCUCUGCUGCCAUCUUCUAGAAGCAACGCAGAAGCUGAAGUUCAUGCUACAGUCCUGGGCCAGAAUCUGGUAUGACAUCUCAGCACAGCUCUUAAAGAAUGAGAGGGGACAAGAGGUGCUACUUCAGCUUGUUCUCCGGCACCUCUGCGCUCUCUGUAGCACUCUUUCAGCAGGUCACAUGCAGAUUCUAUGUAAUGAUUGCAACGGGGGCAGGAUGGCCCUGAAUUACUCCUAGUUUUGCUGGCUGCAGGUCUUCUGAAAUCAAGGGCAUGGGUCUGGGAGAUCAGGAACCUGUUUUAGAAAUAGUACCAGCUUGAAGGUCGAGUUCAUCCACCCCACAGUGGUGAGGCCCUUAAAGUUCAGCACCCAGGAAUGCUCAGCAGAUACUUCUUCUCAUGUAAGAGCUGGAAAUGUGACACAAACACACUGAUUUCAAAGCGUUUGGCUCAGUUCUUCGAAUCAAGGCCAGACAAGCGCUGGCUGCCUGUUGAUCCAGGACAACAUGUCACAGUAUCUCAAACCAAAUGGAUAUAUAGAAGGGAAGAUAUCCACUGCCCACACACACCUCAGCUGUACUUCAUGUGACAAGGCUGGGGAGCAACACUCACAACACUUGGUAGACAAGACUGUGAACUCUUGCGGUGGUGCGCUCAGAGCUGUAAGCGAGGCUGUCACUGCCAAAAAGAAUGCGUUUACAGUGAGAUAAGUGACACACAGGAGCCACUUUGCAGUGAGUGCAUGACUGGCUUACACUGCAUUGCAGCUGAGGGAGCUCCAGCAUGGCAAGGAGCGGAGUGUCGGCCUACACAAGAACAACAAUCAAGUGCAGUAGCUAUUUUUAUCAAGUUUAGUCACUGCACUGGUCUGUUCCCCAAGCCAAGAUCACUUUAAAUGGCAUGGUGUAGUAGAGGGUGGAGACCUGUCCCAUACACUGAAGACAGGACACCUUACAAUAGUCUACUAUAGCCUCCCAAUGGGAGGAUCUCAGCUACACACCUAUUUUAUUGAAAUGGGGGAUUUCUCCCCAGCUUGUUCCCCUGGCCUUUGGGCUGAGAGCAAACAAGGCUUGGGGGAAUCCAAACUCCAAGACCUCUGGGCUUGGGGCCUGCAUGUAGGAUGCCUGCUAUGGAUUUGGGAGUAUCUGAAACCCCAGGCAGAAGAGUUGUGGAAGGAGGAUACUUGCUGGUGGUAGUACUUGAAUGACUGAGCUCUGAUCAGUCAACAGAAUUCAGAAUUGAUUUGGCUAAUUUGGCUUGAGACAAAAUAAUUAUUUUUUAAAAUCUCUAUUAGGCCUUUGCAGCAGAAAAGCGGAGGCACAUUAGCUCUAUGCUGCGAGAACCGUGAUGUUUGCUGGCCAGACAAAGCCAAGAAUAGGAACCCUGGUUCGAAUGCAUUCUAAGAUGUCAUAGCUUUGCCCCACGGCAUAAAAUGCUCUGAAGCUCUUCUUUGUGUUCAGGGAGGUUCUGCCUUUGAAGGAUAAGGGGCAUGAGACAGAGGAGGAGAGUAGCUUUAAAGUUCAGAUGGGGGUAAUUCUCUCCUAAAAGCGUGGGCAAAGCCAGUCUGGAGGUGAUUCAGGAGGAAGGGUCAUGGCUUGGUUACAGAGAUGCUCACUGAUCACGGGGAAAGGUCUUUGAAUGAUGAGAGAUAUUGCCACCUCCUCUCCAUGGCAAUGUGUGAGAGGCAAAAGGGGCACAGGCAAAUGUGAGGCGUGGAGCUUGAGGAAGCGAAGGCAAAUAGUGCAAAAGAAACGAUUUUGUGAAUAUCCCCUAGCAUUUUUAAUCAAGUCCCUUCAGAUGGUCUGUAUGCCUCUGUGAUGUCUGCUUUCCAGGAAUGUAAAAGCUGUGGGGCAGGGCAGUCACCCACUGCAGAAACUUAAGCCAAGGGAUCAGGAUAUUUGUAGGCAUGAGCAUUUGCAACUGGGAUCGGAGUGCCAGAACGAUGCUCAUCCUAUCUGGAACACAAGCCUGUGAGUCCACUCAAAAAAUCAAGUAUUUCACAAUGAAUUAAUGCAAUAAAUUCAUGGCCACACCCCCAAAGAGGAUGGCAAGAUACAAGACAGCCUUCAGGCUAGCGCCAGAAGCAGCUAAUGGAAAUGAACUUUAGCCAGUGCCACAUAACUGCAAGGAGGAGAGUGCUGGCAGGCGUCCAACAGCUCAUUCCAAAGGGGCAAGAUGGCGCCGCAGUGCUAUCCCCUCUAGGUGUGGGCUUGGUGCCGCACACAAGCUCAGCGGAACCAGGCAGGGCUUCCCAGGAGAUGGACUGGCAGGGAGCCAUGCAGGAAAACCCAGCUGAAUGGCUGCUGCCUUCCACCCUAGAGGCGGACACACUUCACUGACACUGAACAGAUUCCUGCUUGCAGUCUGGGACAUGGUUCAGGAUGACAACUUAGCUGGGGAAGUUUAUCCUUCUCUCCCUUGUUCUGCACGUUCUCCAAGCACUGGGGCAGAGCAUACUGAUACCAGCUGGAGCCUGUACUGUACCACAUGGCCUCAGAAACAGGCAGCAAAGUAAACUGAGAGGAAAUCUGAGCAGCAAAACCUAUGAUGAAGCUAUGGCAAGAGGGAACAUAACUGUGAUUAUAGGUCCCAGUUUCCCUGAAAACCUGUGCUGGGAUUCCAGUUUCCAACUUCCUGGAGCUUGGAGAGGAUGGUACCAUCAAUAUGAAACCAAGUGAACAAAAUUACCCAGCUCUCCUUUGCAUUGGACAUGCCUGAACCUGUCCUUAGGCUCAGAUUAAUCCCCUACAACACCAGAAAUGACAGCUGAGGUCAGACGCUGUCAGCAGAGGGGAGGAGGAGAAGGAGGAGGAGGAGAAGGAGGAAAUCUUUCCCCAGGAAACCACACAUGUUCCUAACCAGAGCUCUGGAUGUGAACAACAGACAGUUGUGCCUGGUUCUCUUGGACUCUGUUAAUACUGCUGGCAACAACCCAAAGCCUGCACAGUUGCAACACACUACUGAGUCCUAGCACUUUGCCCAGAGACACAGGAAGCUCACAAUCUUCAUGACAUAGCUGUAACCUUCCCGAUGGGGAGACUCCAUUCAGCUCCACUAAAGAGGGCUGCAGUUCUGUUUUUUCUGACAGACCUAAAGAGGUCACCCUGAAAUAUGGCAAGGGAGUUAAUAAUACUGGAGCCCCAGCCGGCAGUGCUGGGAGGAAACUCUCCCUGCUGGCACCAACUGUUAAGGUUCUUGGAGCAACGCAGCAGCAUCUGGGGCCUGUUUCUACAGCAUAAAAGAGAGGGAUAGCAGGCCAGGGGAAGGGAAUGAUUAAAAUGGAGCUCAGAGUUGAUGUAAAGGCAAAACUAAGACAAUCUGAGGCAGAGUCACCAUGACAUGAGGCUUCUUUGCAGUUUUGCAACUAUAGACAUGGCCCCACAGAAGAGCAGCAGGGACAUUUUUCUGCCCCAGACCUCAUAGAGAGGUACUAGCAUGCAGAAGAGGCCUGCCAGCACUCAUACAACCAAAUGUUUUGGCUGCUGGGGUGAGAGGACCAGACCCCGUACACACUUCACCAGCCACAUACCAUCCUGCAGUGAUGCUAGUAGCCCCUGACUGCCCUUCCUAGGUGCUGGGGUUAACAACACCCCAUUAAGAUGAAUGGGGCGGUUUUGUUCUGUGUCCGACUCUCUGCAGACUCAGGCAGACACAGUGACAUCAACACUGGUUACGCUUAGGUCAUGCUGUCAGGCUCCCUCUGUGAUGAUCAUGAGGGGUAACCCUUAUUUAAACAAAACAAAAUGAAAAGAUUCUGUCCUCAUCACAACUCCAGAGGCUGAAGCCCAGGGCUUGUACUGUGCAAGUCUUGGUUCAGCCUAGGGAAAGAAGAUGCAGCCUAACAUAAAGAUUCUGGAGCAGUCACUGUGCAUCUCUCACAGAUGGUUGAACCACCAGUAGUCUCUGCCCACAGCUGUUUUCAGCAUUAGUUGGCAUUUAGAAAAGGAGAUGCCAACAGUAAGAGCAUUAGCUCUCCACAGCAGGUACCCCCCCAUGCACGUCCAUCAGGAAGGGAGGGACCUAGCCAAUUUUCCAUUAUAAAUCUCCCCCAUUCUGCAGCCACUACCACAGCUGGAGGGCAAAAACACAUACUGCAGGUUGGAUCUUGGUGUGUGUUCCAAAAAAGAGGAGGGGAGAGGCUGUUCUGGUCUCCUGAGCAUUUCACACCUGCUCCUAAAAACACCUGCCUAAACACAAGUCAAAACAGCUUGCUUUGUCUGGUCCACAUAAAACUACAAUUAGAAAGCAAUGGCAACUCCGUUGUGACCCAGACUGACACAGGCCAGGAAAUUCAGGAUUGAGAAGUAAUGUCUGCCCCUGAACUCACCCUCUGUGCACGUUAAAAAACCAGCAUCAUCUUGGAAGUGGUGAAUCUGAUACAAGGGGAGGCCAGGAACAUUUCCCCCUCCACACCACUGAAUUAUCUGAUCGCUGGUCAUGCUUCCAUUACUUCCCGGGCAGGGAAUGUACUGUUCCAUCCUCCCACUGCGUCCCUGGAGUUUGCUUUAUCAUUUGGGGACCACAUUAUGACACACUACUUGAUUCAGUCUGCAGCUCCAGACCUGACUCCGGCUUGCCCUCCCCAUCCCUUCCCUGCCCCGCAGGUAACAAUCACCAAUAAAUCAUUUUGUGGAGCAAAGAGGAGAGGACAGAGGGUCAGAGGACACCCAAAGCAAGAGGCACAAAGCUCCAAAAACCCGUUUUGGACUUGCUCUCCAAAGAGCUCUGCAUUUCAUUAGCACGCUGCAAGGCAGCACAUCCAGUUCUGGCAUGGGGAGUGGGGGGUUUCUUAUGUCAGGAGCAGAAAUUACAAACAGAAGACAAGCUGGAGAACAAGCUGCUCGCGCUUGUCACUGCAUCUCUGCACUGGCCCCAAUCUGACCCCACCUUCUGGGGUUUAUUGGCUUGGGGCAGGCCAACAAUAGUGCUCUAACACCUGGGCCCCUCGGCCUCACUGCCAAGGACUUGUCAACUCUAAAUUACCAGACAUCUCUUAGCUAGCUUGGUGACCUUGCCAAGGUGAAGUACCCCCAGCUUGGCUACCGAUCCUGCUGCUGUAGCAAGGGUUUUCCUAACACGUUGCUCCAUGAGGCAUCCCUACUGGCAACCAAAUUUCAAAGAUAGCUCCUGCCCUUCAGUGGUUGGUAGCAUACUAAUGACAGAUCAGCUUGGGUAUGCCCAGCCCAGCCUUUAAGGUGAAGCUCCCAGGCCUUCUACAUGUCUUGUCAGCAAACCAAACUCUACCUUUCCCUGGCAAACUUCCCUUUAUCCCCUCUCUUCCUGGCAGCAGCCCCUCCCUGUGCCAUCCGAGUCUUAUCUAGGCAAACAAUGAGCCUGUGUCCCCCCUAGAAGAGCAUGAAGAGGCCAAGGCCAGGGGUUGUUGUGGACAAAGCAACCAGUCUCCUCUCCCUGCUAGAGAAAGCUCCAGUGGAGUAGCAUGAGCAAGAUCUAUCUUCCUUGCAGCUCAGCACAUCAAUUGCACCCAAACCUGGCAACAGAGCAUGGGGUGGCAUAAGAGUUAGUGCUUCAAAGGAGAGGGAAGCCUCCCUCUCCCCACUUUAACUAACAUACGCCUGAAGCAUCAUGGGCAAGCACAGCAUGCUGCAAACAGAUGUGAAUUCUGAGGAACGUGCCAGGGCCAGAGGGAAGAGCUGAGCCCUUGCCUUUAAUCAAGGUUUAAUUAUGCUCACUACAGGGCAGAAGAGAAUUUGUAUAAAGCACUGCUGCCCCUUCUCCGCCCCCAAACACAGGGAGCUUUUUGCAAGUCCCCUGUCAUGCUUUUAUUCCCCCCGUCCAUUAAGCAAGUGGCCUAGGAUUUAAACCUUCCCAGGCUCUCUGUAGCACUUCCCCCACCCUGAAAGCUCUAGGACUGCUCGAGCCUUCCCUAAAGUAGGCAGCCAGCUGUGCUCUCCAGGCAAGGGAGUGGCAGAGUCAGGAAUGCAGCCCAC